rnacentral:tRNA from 1 species
GCGUGGGUGGCUCAGUGGGUUAAGCGUCUGACUUUUGCUCAGGUGAUGAUCUCACGGUUUGUGGGUUUGAAUCCCACAUUGGGCU